rnacentral:rRNA from 1 species
GAUGAACGUUGGCGGCGUGCCUAACACAUGCAAGUCGAACGCUAGUAGCAAUAUUAGAGUGGCGCACGGGUGAGUAACACGUAGCUUACCCACCUCCCAGCGCGGGAUAACGGUUCGAAAGAACUGCUAAUACCGCAUAAGCUCACGGGCUAUAGAGGCUAGUGAGAAAAGGCUUAGGUCACUGGGAGCGGGGGCUGCGGCCCAUCAGCUGGUUGGGGCGGUAACGGCGCACCAAGGCGACGACGGGUAGGGGACCUGAGAGGGUGACCCCC